rnacentral:rRNA from 1 species
GCUAGGGGGCGGGAAAGGCCGGGGGUACCCCAGGGGUAGGGGCGAAAUCCGAUAAUCCCUGGGGGACCACCAGUGGCGAAAGCGCCCGGCUGGAACGCGCCCGACGGUGAGGGGCGAAAACCGGGGGAGCGAACCGGAUUAGAUACCCGGGUAGUCCCGGCUGUAAACGAUGCGGGCUAGGUGUCGGGCGGGCGUUAGAGCCCGCCCGGUGCCGCAGGGAUGCCGUUAAGCCCGCCGCCUGGGGAGUACGGCCGCAAGGCUGAAACUUUAAGGAAUUGGCGGGGGGGCACACAAGGGGUGGAGCCUGCGGCUCAAUUGGAGUCAACGCCGGGAACCUCACCGGGGGCGACAGCAGGAUGACGGCCAGGCUAAUGACCUUGCCCGACGCGCUGAGGGGAGGUGCAUGGCCGUCGUCAGCUCGUGCUGUGAAGUGUCCUGUUAAGUCAGGCAACGAGCGAGACCCCCGCCCCUAGUUGCGACCCUGUGGGCGACCGUGGGGGCACACUAGGGGGACUGCCGCCGCUAAGGCGGAGGAAGGAGGGGGCCACGGCAGGUCAGCAUGCCCCUAAACCCCCGGGCUGCACGCGGGCUACAAUGGCGGGGACAGCGGGAUCCGACCCCGAAAGGGGAAGGCAAUCCCUGAAACCCCGCCGUAGUCGGGAUUGGGGGCUGAAACUCGCCCCCAUGAACCUGGAAUCCCUAGUAACCGCGCGUCAACAUCGCGCGGUGAAUACGUCCCUGCCCCUU